AGUGAACGCUGGCGGUAGACCUAACACAUGCAAGUCGAACGGCAGCACAGUAAGAGCUUGCUCUUACGGGUGGCGAGUGGCGGACGGGUGAGGAAUACAUCGGAAUCUACUUUUUCGUGGGGGAUAACGUAGGGAAACUUACGCUAAUACCGCAUACGACCUACGGGUGAAAGCAGGGGAUCUUCGGACCUUGCGCGAUUGAAUGAGCCGAUGUCGGAUUAGCUAGUUGGCGGGGUAAAGGCCCACCAAGGCGACGAUCCGUAGCUGGUCUGAGAGGAUGAUCGGCCACACUGGAACUGAGACACGGUCCAGACUCCUACGGGAGGCAGCAGUGGGGAAUAUUGGACAAUGGGCGCAAGCCUGAUCCAGCCAUACCACGUGGGUGAAGAAGGCCUUCGGGUUGUAAAGCCCUUUUGUUGGGAAAGAAAAGCAGCAGGUUAAUACCCCGCUGUUCUGACGGUACCCAAAGAAUAAGCACCGGCUAACUUCGUG
rnacentral:rRNA from 1 species